GCAGACAAGUAAUUGUCAUUGAAUAGUUCAGCAUGGGAUAAUAGAAUAGGACCACGUUCUUAUUUUCAGUUGGUUUUUAAGAGUGUGGUAAUGAUUAAUAGGAACGGUCGGGGGCAUUGGUAUUUAGUUGUCAGAGGUGAAAUUCUUAGAUUUACGAAAGACCAACAUGGGCGAAAGCAUUUGCCAAGGACGUUUUCAUUAAUCAAGAACGAAAGUUUGGGGAUCGAAGACGAUCAGAUACCGUCGUAGUCCAAACCAUAAACUAUGCCGACCAGGGAUCGAAGGACGUUCACAUUUCAUCAUGGAUGACUCCUCCGGCACCUUGUGAGAAAUCAUUAAGUGUUUGGGUCCUGGGGGGAGUAUGGUCGCAAGGCUGAAACUUAAAGGAAUUGACGGAAGGGC
rnacentral:rRNA from 1 species